rnacentral:sRNA from 1 species
UUUUUCUUUUUUUUUUUUUCCGGGGCUGGGGAUUCAAUUGAAAUUUUUAACAUUUGAAUUUUUGAAACUAAAUAUACCUUAGUGGAUAAAUACACCUAUAUUCUCCUUUCUCUUUACAUAUGUACUUUUUUCAAGGUUAAGUGUAUUUAUUUUUAGAUCACAAAGGACAUUCACUUUGAAUUUCAGCCUGCCUUUUGCAAGUGGCUUUUAAAUUUAAAUCCCUGUAAUUCUUAUGUGCCUGCCUCUGCCUCCCAAGUGCUGGGAUUACAGGUCUGAACCACCUGGAUAUGAAUUCCUUGAACACGGUCUGUGAUUUCUCUGGUGUGCAAACAUACUAAUUAGGAGUCGCAUCUGAGUUUCACCCCAGGGUGGCGGGAUUAAAGGCAUGCAAUGCCACCUUGUUCACGGUAACUCUGGAAUUUAGAAAACAACUUCUAGAGAUCCAGCUGUUUCUGCUGGGGUUAAAGGCAUGAGCUGCCCUGCUCAAAUGUUUUAUUUUAGCUUCAAAUCACCUAACAGAGAUUUAGAAAACAGGCUUGAACUGCAGUAACCCUGUGGAUUACUUAAAGUACCUUAAAUCUCUUACUUGUGUUUUAAAUACUAAACAACAGAAAUACCCCUUCAGGCCACAUGGCAGUCUACGGUCUGACAUUCUAACAUGGAGUUGGGACACACGCUUUCAGAAAACCUCACUUCAUGUCCGGAAGGGAUCCUGAACCGUCUGGAGCUUCUGGACUCGGGGGUCUUGAAGAAGGAGGGAAUAUACAUUCCAAGUAAAAAUGUCUCACAAAGCAAGACAACUGCUAGGCCACCGGUCUGAGGCAAAGGAUGGGUGGGUGAGUGACAGCUGAGAGGCUAUGGUGGUUUAAAUGAGAAACUAUAGACUCAGGCAUUUCAACACAUGGUCCCCAGAUGGGGGCACUGUUUGGAGAGAUCAAGGCCUAGCUGGGGUAGAAAAUAAUAACUGGGGACUUUGAGGGUUUAAAGGCCCCAUUUCCAGUAUCUCCUCUGUACUUCAGGAAGCACUCUCUCACUUCCUGCUGCUGCCUACCAAGCCUCUGUCUGCCGUAAUGGGAUCUCACCCCCUGAAACAGUAAGCCAAAAUAAACACCUUAAAUUGCCUAUGUUUUGUCAAGGUGCUUUAUCUUAGCAACAAAGUAAUGAGUACAGAGGUCAAGACCCCAAAAGAGGAGCCUGAGGAGGGAGGAGGAAGUCCCUGCAGUGCCUGGGUAGUGCAAGUCCUGUUCCUACGCUGGAAUAACAGUGCCAGUCACUGAGGAAAACUCGAGCUCCUCAUCACACAAAAUAGCAGGAUAUCUACUAAAUCCAGGCGGGCCACAGUGCAGGGCACUGACACAAGGCUAGACCUAAAGAGGCAACAGUGUUGCAAUGGCCGCUCUUCCUCAUACAAGUGCACUGCAUUCUGACUCGAAUCCAAGAGGGUUAGAGGCACUGACCAAAAGAUGAUGGACAGGCAGCCACUACAGCAUUCGGCUUAGCCACCGCCCUGCUUCCUAGCCUUCAGGGGCUCGAGAUAAAAGCUGGCACUGCCUGCCACAACCUGGAAAAAGUGAAGAUUUCUAAAUACACAAAGCUCCACGAAGAGGGUGUGUUUCCAUCAUGACCAAUUCAUCUAGACAAUAUCUGAAGGUCUUCCUCUCAUUAGCAGUGAUGCAUCCCCAGAUGAUGGGGGAGUCAUCCCACACUCCUCUCGUGUGUUCAGGCCUUCUUCACACCUCAGCCCACCUCUACCUCAGUGAGGAGGUUCCUUUCCUACCACAGAACAGUCUUGGGGAGUCACAGCUGCUGGUCAUCCCAGAUGCCCUGGAGGCUAGGCAUCUGCAGGCACAACCCCAGUUGGCAGUAGUGGCUAAUGCUGCUGUUUCUCAUAUCAAAGCUGGCCUCCCCGGUCUUAGGACAAGUAGUUAGGGCCAGCAUGGGCCUUUUCUCCACAGGGCUUGCCCUUCCCCCAUUUCAAUAACUGGGCCUCUUAUUACUUGUAAGAC